UAGUUAUUGGAGGUAUUGACUCCUCCAGUGACGCAGCUAACGCAUUAAGUUCUCCGCCUGGGGAGUACGGUCGCAAGACUAAAACUCAAACAAAUUGACGGGGGCCCGCACAAGCGGUGGAUUAUGUGGUUUAAUUCGAAGCAACGCGCAGAACCUUACCUAGGCUUGAACUCCUACGAACCUGUUUUAAUCGACGGGGUGUCCGCAAGGAAAUGUAGUGAGAGGUGCUGCAUGGCUGUCGUCAGCUCGUGUUGUGAAAUGUUGGGUUAAGUCUCGCAACGAGCGCAACCCCUAUCGUCUGUUGCCAGCAUUAAGUUGGGCACUCUGACGAGACUGCCUGGGUUAACCAGGAGGAAGGUGGGGAUGACGUCAAGUCCUCAUGGCCCUUAUGUCUAGGGCUACACACGUAAUACAAUGGCGCGUACAGAGGGAAGCGAACUAGCAAUAGGGAGCAAAUCUCAAAAAGCGCGCCUCAGUUCGGAUUGGAGUCUGCAACUCGACUCCAUGAAGUUGGAAUCGCUAGUAAUCGGAGAUCAGCACGCUCCGGUGAAUACGUUCCCGGGCCUUGUACACACCGCC
rnacentral:rRNA from 1 species